CGGACGGGUGAGUAACGCGUGGGGAACCUGCCCUGUACCGGGGGAUAGCAGCCGGAAACGGCUGAUAAUACCGCAUAAGCGCACGAAUGUCGCAUGACAUGGUGUGAAAAACUCCGGUGGUAUAGGAUGGACCCGCGUCUGAUUAGCCUGUUGGUGGGGUAAAAGCCUACCAAAGCGAAGAUCAGUAGCCGAGUUGAGAGACUGACCGGCCACAUUGGGACUGAGACACGGCCCAGACUCCUACGGGAGGCAGCAGAU
rnacentral:rRNA from 1 species